rfam:TPA: Bos taurus chromosome 1, whole genome shotgun sequence.
UCCCUUGUGGCUCAGAUGGUAAAGCAUCUGCCUACAAUGUAGGAGAUCCGGGUUCAAUCCCUGGGUCGGGAA